CUUAUUUAGCUCUAUAUAUUCUAAACGUACCUCGAGUAGAAGAACUUUUUGAAUUAGAAUCUGUGGAUAUAUUUGUCGAAGUUAAAGUUCCCCCAACCUGUGAGGUGACAAUCAUGCAAAUGAUAGACGGUCAUAAAGUGAAGAUAAACAAUUCUCAUGCGUAUAUAGUGGAGGGUAGGAAAAAUUUAGAAUUCCAUUGUUCCAUAAAGUCGUUUUCAGGGAAUGCGAACCCUAAUGAUCAAAAUCACAGAAUAAAUCACAUAGCACAGCUCAGUGGGGAGCUUCUCUCCAAUACUAGGGGUUCAGAUUCCAAUAUCAACAAUUAUUUA